CAUGCACUGGUGGGGUCCCUUGGCCUGGCCUGUGCCUUCUCACAAUCCAGGGCCCCUCGGGGGAUGUUGGAGAGCUGGUUGCGGCCCGAUCCCGCAGGCCAGGCCAAGGGACCCCACUGGUGCACA
rnacentral:pre_miRNA from 1 species